UACGUAGGGGGCAAGCGUUGUCCGGAUUUAUUGGGCGUAAAGAGCGUGUAGGCGGCCAGAUAGGUCCGUUGUGAAAACUCGAGGCUCAACCUCGAGACGCCGAUGGAAACCAUUUGGCUAGAGUCCGGAAGAGGAGAGUGGAAUUCCUGGUGUAGCGGUGGAAUGCGCAGAUAUCAGGAGGAACACCAACAGCGAAGGCAGCUCGCUGGGACGGUACUGACGCUGAGGCGCGAAAGCGUGGGGAGCAAACAGG
rnacentral:rRNA from 1 species